rnacentral:lncRNA from 1 species
GCACGCACGAGGCUCUGGGGCAACAGCUGGAGAGGAAGAGGAGCCAAGAGCCCUCCCGGAACUGCUUUCAGGAUGAGGGAGGCAGAAGCAUGCUUGCAUCCUGGUGCUAGCGAACUGCCCAGGGAGGACUGAUGGCCAGAGAGGCAGCAGAGCCAGUGGCGCCAGGUUCUUAGAUGGAGAAGAAAUGAUCCAGAGCCCAAAGCGCACUUGGUCCGGGUGUGUGCUUUUCCCAGGAGUGUGGUCCAGAUGGAUGCUCUCAGUGUUCUCUGGCCAGAGGCCUUCAGGAAUCCAUAUGUAGCUCACCAAGCAAGGUUACAGAGUUCUCCGGUUUUCAUCUGGUUCCAUCCUGGUCAGCACGGCCUUAUCCGAGGUUGAUGUUCUACAGAAGAUUUAUGUGCAACAAAACACGAAUCCCUAGAUAAGUUGCAAACAAUGAGAAGAAUGCUGCUGAGAGGCCUAGGGGAUCCUCUUCCCAUCGAUUGUUCUCUUUCUCUGUGAGAUGGAAGCAUUCUAAGAAGGUAAAGGUGCGGAGAGAAUGUCAG